UGGGGAAUUUUGGACAAUGGGCGCAAGCCUGAUCCAGCCAUGCCGCGUGCAGGAUGAAGGCCUUCGGGUUGUAAACUGCUUUUGUACGGAACGAAAAGGUGCCUUCUAAUAAAGGGCGCUCAUGACGGUACCGUAAGAAUAAGCACCGGCUAACUACGUGCCAGCAGCCGCGGUAAUACGUAGGGUGCGAGCGUUAAUCGGAAUUACUGGGCGUAAAGCGUGCGCAGGCGGUUUUGUAAGACAGAGGUGAAAUCCCCGGGCUCAACCUGGGAACGGCCUUUGUGACUGCAAGGCUGGAGUGCGGCAGAGGGGGAUGGAAUUCCGCGUGUUGCGGUGAAAUGCGUAGAUAUGCGGAGGAACACCGAUGGCGAAGGCAAUCCCCUGGGCCUGCACUGACUCUCAUGCACGAAAGCGUGGG
rnacentral:rRNA from 1 species